rnacentral:lncRNA from 1 species
ACCACUUUUUUGCUCUUCCCAAAAGGGAGAACAGAAAUAAUUUUCAUUUAAGGGUUUCUUCUGUCAUGCUGGAAAUAGAUCGUCAAGAGCACAACUGCUCGAAUUCUCUAAGCUGGGUGUAUGGAUCUUCAUCUACUUGCCCAGAGAAGGGUUGCUCCUGAAUCAUGGCUAUUAGAUCAGCGCCGAGGUCAUAGCCAUCUGUAAGAAUUGGAUGUGAUGAUGGCGGUGGCUGUAAUAACUCGCCCUUUGGAGCAAAAAAUUUAUAGAUAGGAGUUAAAUCCAUGUGAUAUGGUGAAAAUGGUAAGGUGAGUGUGGUAAAAAAGAAAAAGAAAAAGGAUACACAGACGACUU